GGCGUAAGCGCGCGCAGGUGGUUUCUUAAGUCUGAUGUGAAAUCCCCGAGCCCAUCUUGGGAGGGGCAUUGGAUACUGGGAAACUUGAGUGCGGCAUAGGAAGGUGGAAUUCCAUGUGUAGCGGUGAAAUGCGUAGAGAUAUGGAGGAACACCCAGUGCGAAGGCAGCCAUCUGCUCUAAUACUGACACUGAGUGCGAAAGA
rnacentral:rRNA from 1 species